rnacentral:lncRNA from 1 species
AGUUUGGUAUAACUGAUAUUUGAAUAGUUUUCUCUUCUAAUUGGCAGGAGAUGUGACUAUUUGUCAGGCCCCAGCACCAAGUUGAAUUAUUUCAAGGUGAGAAGAGAUCUUUGGUGAAGACAAGAGAGAAAAUUGAUUGCUAUCAGUGUGGAACACCUCCUUCCAGAAGAUUUUUAAAAAAGGAGCAAGCAAAAUGUUCCAAAGAGGAAAGAACAAAUUAUGGAAUGGGAACAGAGAACAGCUUUCCUCACUAACCUCUGAAAACCAGGAUUCAGACAGAAGAAAGCCCAGAGAGGCAGGCAAGCAGGAGGAUCUCAUUUCUGGAAUCAUUCAGCAUGUUUCAAGGGCUUCUACUUUCAACAGGUG